AGUCGAGGGGCAGCAUUUUAGUUUGCUUGCAAACUAAAGAUGGCGACCGGCGCACGGGCUGAGCUAACACGCUAUCCAACCUGCCGAUAACUCGGGGAUAGCCUUUCGAAAGAAAGAUUAAUAUCCGAUAGUAUAUUAAAACCGCAUGGUUUUACUAUUAAAGAAUUUCGGUUAUCGAUGGGGAUGCGUUCCAUUAGUUUGUUGGCGGGGUAACGGCCCACCAAGACUACGAUGGAUAGGGGUUCUGAGAGGAAGGUCCCCCACAUUGGAACUGAGACACGGUCCAAACUCAUACGGGAGGCAGCAAUGAGGAAUAUUGGUCAAUGGACGAGAGUCUGAACCAGCCAAGUAGCGUGAAGGAUGACUGCCCUAUGGGUGGUAAACUUCUUUUAUAUGGGAAUAAAGUAUUCCACGUGUGGGAUUUUGUAUGUACCAUAUGAAUAAGGAUCGGCUAACUCCGUGCCAGCAGCCGCGGUAAUACGGAGGAUCCGAGCGUUAUCCGGAUUUAUUGGGUUUAAAGGGAGCGUAGGUGGAUUGUUAAGUCAGUUGUGAAAGUUUGCGGCUCAACCGUAAAAUUGCAGUUGAAACUGGCAGUCUUGAGUACAGUAGAGGUGGGCGGAAUUCGUGGUGUAGCGGUGAAAUGCUUAGAUAUCACGAAGAACUCCGAUUGCGAAGGCAGCUCACUAGACUGCAACUGACACUGAUGCUCGAAAGUGUGGGUAUCAAACAGGAUUAGAUACCCUGGUAGUCCACACAGUAAACGAUGAAUACUCGCUGUUUGCGAUAUACAGUAAGCGGCCAAGCGAAAGCAUUAAGUAUUCCACCUGGGGAGUACGCCGGCAACGGUGAAACUCAAAGGAAUUGACGGGGGCCCGCACAAGCGGAGGAACAUGUGGUUUNAAUUCGAUGAUACGCGAGGAACCUUACCCGGGCUUAAAUUGCAUUUGAAUAAUCUGGAAACAGGUUAGCCGCAAGGCAAAUGUGAAGGUGCUGCAUGGUUGUCGUCAGCUCGUGCCGUGAGGUGUCGGCUUAAGUGCCAUAACGAGCGCAACCCUUAUCUUUUAGUUACUAACAGGUCAUGCUGAGGACUCUAGAGAGACUGCCGUCGUAAGAUGUGAGGAAGGUGGGGAUGACGUCAAAUCAGCACGGCCCUUACGUCCGGGGCUACACACGUGUUACAAUGGGGGGUACAGAAGGCAGCUACCUGGCGACAGGAUGCUAAUCCCAAAAACCUCUCUCAGUUCGGAUCGAAGUCUGCAACCCGACUUCGUGAAGCUGGAUUCGCUAGUAAUCGCGCAUCAGCCAUGGCGCGGUGAAUACGUUCCCGGGCCUUGUACACACCGCCCGUCAAGCCAUGAAAGCCGGGGGUACCUGAAGUACGAACCGCAAGGAGCUCCUAGG
rnacentral:rRNA from 1 species